AUAUGUUGCAUUACAUACGUAGGUCUCUGACGUCAGACAUACCGCGAUGAUGAGUCAUGAAGUGUUAGUUACACAAAAACAACUGAAGGGACAACAGUAACUGGUCGAUUGUUUGUUUACUUGGACUUUGUUAUUAUCAAAAUAAAAAGAGAUGUCUGAAUAGGAUUAAAUUGCCUAGAAUUACACCAGCUAGACCAUCGUUUCCAGGCGCUUUUGUAAGAAGCUCUGGUACCAGGUCUCCAGGCUUUGGAGUAUAAUUCUGCAGCUGCUUUUGAUAAAUUUGCUGUAAUUGUGUGUCCCCCGAUACCUUCCAAGCUGCCAGAUGAAAGGUCCCUGACUGGGCCAGUGGAUGGAAUUGACCCGUCGAUGAUCAAAGGAUCUGAGGAAAACUGGGUAGACGGAUUGGAUCUGCAAUCGUCAUCAUUAAAAGCAUGGGAUACCAUGGCUGAGCUUGCCAAAUUGGUGUGAUUAAAAUAGUUGUUGCUUUU